ensembl:lncRNA
AUUAAAAAAUGUUUUAUGUGGCGUUCAGAGGGCAAAACAUUUGAAAUAAUUUGAUUAUUUACUGUAAAAAAAAAAAAAAGAAAAAAGGGGGGAAAAAAACCUGUAAAAAAAAAAAAAAAUUAAAAAAAAUUCUGUAACAUGUAGGUUGCAGCUGGUGAACUGAGAAUAUCUGCCUCUUUUAGAUGUCCAGCCUCAGCAAAUAUACUUGCAUGCUUCACCAGGGUCAGUGUAAAAUUUUAAUUUCAGCAGCACAACAGAUACACCCACACGCUUGGUAUCGCUGUGCUCAGACAUUUCUUGCUUAAUUUCCAGUAAUGCUCUCCAAGCCUGCAGAUGAAAUUCAAAUCUUUGCAAAAAUUGAGGCAUAUUUUCACAUUUGUACCUGCGAUUUCCAUUGCAGAUUGCAGUUGCCUUGGCUAAUGUUUGGCACCUGGCUAAUCUGUUUAAAGAACAUCCCCUGUAACAAAUCAGCCAACUGGGGACUGUAUCCAGCACUGUGAGGGGCUCAACUUGGUUCUCCUCUGGUUCUGGUGCUGGCUGACCAGCAGGCCCCCACAGCUCAGGCCCA